rnacentral:rRNA from 1 species
CCUACGGGAGGCAGCAGUGGGGGAUAUUGCACAAUGGGGGGAACCCUGAUGCAGCGACGCCGCGUGGGUGAAGAAGCGCCUCGGCGCGUAAAGCCCUGUCAGCAGGGAAGCAAAUGACGGUACCUGAAGAAGAAGCCACGGCUAACUAAGUGCCAGCAGCCGCGGUAAUACGUAGGGGGCAAGCGUUAUCCGGAUUUACUGGGUGUAAAGGGGGCGCAGACGGCGAUGCAAGCCAGGAGUGAAAGCCCGGGGCCCAACCCCGGGACUGCUCUUGGAACUGCGUGGCUGGAGUGCAGGAGGGGCAGGCGGAAUUCCUGGUGUAGCGGUGAAAUGCGUAGAUAUCAGGAGGAACCCCGGUGGCGAAGGCGGCCUGCUGGACUGCAACUGACGUUGAGGCCCGAAAGCGUGGGGAGCGAACAGGAUUAGAUACCCCAGUAGUC